rnacentral:rRNA from 1 species
UACGUAGGGUGCGAGCGUUAAUCGGAAUUACUGGGCGUAAAGCGUGCGCAGGCGGUGAUGUAAGACCGAUGUGAAAAUCCCCGGGCUUAACCCUGGGAACUGCAUUGGUGACUGCAUCGCUCGAGUAUGGCAGAGGGGGGUAGGAAUUCCACGUGUAGCAGUGAAAUGCGUAGAGAUGUGGAGGAAUACCGAUGGCGAAGGCAGCCCCCUGGGUCAAUACUGACGCUCAUGCACGAAAGCGUGGGGAGCAAACAGG